UUGGAUGAGUGAACCCUUGUUAAUUAUCUUCUUAUUAUAUUAAAGCAUAAUAAAUUAAAAUUGAAGAAAAUAUAAUUAAAAAUUAUAAUAAAUUAAGAGUGAUACACGGUCGUACACACUAAAUUGUGGAACAGAGGAUCCUAUGUGAUUCUCAACUUGUAAUCGACAAUUGUCGAGUAUUAGUGUAUUUUCUAAGAAUCUUGGAAGAAAAUGGUGGCUGUGAGCCUGUGAGUAUCUCUAAAUUCAAAAUCCCACUUUUAAUUAAAUACCCGAUUGCUUCGACAAUUUAAUUUACUACGUUUGGCUCAAAAGAAUACCAUACAAGGUGAUCAAAAUUCUAGUUUUAGCUAUAUAUUACGCCAUGUUCGAUUACAAUUAUAAUCUUCCAAAUAAGAAAUUUCGACCUGUCUAUGAAUAUUCAUCGGUUCAAUGGAAAAAUCGAGAAUCGGAAUAUAGGAAAAAUCUUGGGCUUCUCAAACUCAAUGAUUGCUCAAGCAAUAGAUUGAGCCGAAACAUUCCAAAAUAAUUUUUAAUUCAGUAAGCUUUGGAUUAAUUUCCUUAAACCUAUAACAUCAAAAUCAAAUGAUACUCCCUUCGUUCCAUUACAAAUGUCUCACUUUUCAUAAUGGGAUGUAUGUAAUACCCGAUAAUAUUUUAUGAUUAAAUGUUAUUAUAUUUUUUAGAUGUUGUUCAUUUGGUAAACAAAUUUUAAAUAAAUAAGUUAUCAGUAUAUCGUAUGAUCGUAUCGAAUUUUGUCAAUUUCGAUAUAUCAGUUACUUUGAUAUACCGUGAAAGUAUGGUAUACUGUGAAAGUAAGUAUACCGCGAGUUAUACCAAACAAAGGACGGUAAGGUAUAAUACGUAUUAGUGCAUUCUCCGUACCGUAAUUAAGGUAUAACAAAUUGAGGUAUACCGUAGGUAAAUAUAAGGUAUAAUGUAUGAAGAAUUUAGUAAGGUAUACCGUACCGUUCCACCCCAAUUGUCACUAUCAAUUGCUAAUUUUGAAUAAUUCAUAAUGGAAUCAAAGAAGAUUAGGUAACCAAUUUAACAUUUUAAUUAAUAACAGAAAAUCUUUAAGCUCUAGGUUUAAUUGUUUUCAAGUGUUUUCGUCUUUUUAUUAAUUGAUGAGAAAUAUAUCCUCAUGAAUUAACUUUUAGUCCAUUUUGUCAUUUUCUCAUUAAUUGUGACCCAAUGUUUACGGCAUAUUAUCAUGACUCGUCAUUUUAUGACUUGGUCACACUUCACUUACUAGUUUGUUUCUAUGUUGGAAAAUUAUCAGGUCAUUUAAAACCACAAUUUCUACAUUAAUUUAUCAUGAAUUAUCUUCAAACAAUUUCUAUAUAUAUAUAUUUUUUUGCGAUGAUGACUUGGUCACACUUCACUUCACUAGUUUGUUUCUAUAUAAGUAGGAAAAUUAUUAGGUCAUUUAAAACCACAUGAAUUUCUACAUUAACUUAUCAUGAAUUAUCUUCAAACAAUUUCUAUAUUAUUUUUUGCGAUGAUACCUUAGUCACGCUUCACUUUCUUGUUUUGUUUUUCAAGUUGACUUGCAAGUAAUCCAAGCAAGUCAUUGAGUUUGAAAGUGACAUUUUGCAAUGUGAGGGAAAGAGGUAUGUUUUGUCCUAUUUAAACCAUCCAACUUGAGACUAUGAAGUAUCCCACAAACAUAUAUCUCUUUCUCUUCCACACAUCAAAAUAUACAGAAAGGAUGAUUUCUGAUAAAGGAAUAUCAAUCAAAUUUCUUCUUUUUCUUCUACUUUGUGUCUCUGUUUCAGGAGAAGUGAGAUGCAUUGAAAGGGAGAGAGAAGCUCUUCUAAGCUUCAAGAAUGGCCUCAUCGAUGACUAUGGCGUUCUCUCGUCAUGGCGAAGUGACGAAUGCUGCAAAUGGUAUGGUGUUGAGUGCAGUAACACCACAGGCCAUGUCAUAGCUCUUCAUCUUGAUGGCUAUUAUAAAGGUGCAUUGCGAGGUAAGGUUGGUUCUUCCUUGCUCGAGUUGCAUCAUUUAAACUAUCUUGACCUCAGUUACAAUGAUUUUGGAGGCUAUUCAAUCCCAGAAUUCAUAGGUUCCAUGAAACAGUUACAAUAUCUGUAUCUCAUGUAUUCUCACUUUUCUGGGAUCAUUCCUCCUCAGAUUGGUAACCUUACUAACUUGCGGUUACUCGGUCUCAGUUGGAAUGAUUUUGGAGGCAAUCCAAUCCCGGAAUUCGUUUAUUCCAUGAAACAAUUACAACACUUGUAUCUCAAGUAUGCUAACUUUUCUGGGAUCAUUCCUCCUCAGAUUGGUAACCUUACCAACCUACUCUCACUUGAUCUCUCAUUCAACUCUUUGACGACUGAGAAUCUCGUUUGGCUUUCGAAUCUCUCUUCGUUGUCUUAUCUUCAUUUGAGUCAAAUCGACUUAAGUCACCCCAACUCGCUGCAACAUAUCUCAAGUCUUCAUUUCCUAUAUGAAUUGCACUUGUAUUCUUGUGGCCUCAAGGGGACUGAACCUUCUNNNNNNNNNNNNNNNNNNNNNNNNNNNNNNNNNNNNNNNNNNNNNNNNNNNNNNNNNNNNNNNNNNNNNNNNNNNNNNNNNNNNNNNNNNNNNNNNNGACUUAAGUCACACCAACUGGCUGCUGCACAUCCCAAGUCUUCGUUCCCUAAAUGAAUUGUACUUGAAUUCCUGUAACCUCACUUCUUCCUCAUCUUUUCUUAAUUCUUCUUCCAAAUCUCAUCUUUCUAUCCUUGGUGUGUCUGAUAAUAACCUCACUUCUUCCUCGUUCGAUUGGUUAUCAAACAUAACUACAAGUCUAGUGGAAAUAGACCUGUCACACAAUGCUUUAGGUGGCCCAAUUCCUAAUGCAUUUUUAGAGAGUUUGGUUCUUAUUGAGUAUCUUGAUCUUUCCAAUAACAUGCUUCAAGGCCAUAUCCCAAAAUCUUUGUCCAAUCUCAGUCGUCUGCGCGUCUUAGUCCUUUACGAAAAUGACUUAGGAGGAGAACUUGAUGAGCUGUUUGGAAAUAUAUCUGCCAAAGGAAUGUUGGAAUCACUCCAAAUUCUGGAUUUGGCUGAUAAUAAACUCAAUGGUUCAGUGCCAGACUUGAGAGCAUUUUCUGCAUUGACAGAAGUGUACUUUGGGGGAAACAACUUCACAGGCUCCAUUCCUCAAAGUAUUGGCCAACUCUCCGAGCUUCAAGUUCUAGAUCUUUCUAAUAAUUCUUUCAAAGGCGUAGUCUCUGAAUCGCACUUCAUCAAGCUCGACAAGUUGAAGAUACUAGAUUUAUCCUUCAAUUCAAUGAUCUUGAAUGUUGCCCCGGAUUGGAGUCCUCCUUUUCAGUUGGAGCGUAUGUUUUUAGGAGGAUGCAAUGUGGGCCCGUCUUUCCCAAAAUGGAUCCAAACUCAGAGGAAUUUGUUAGGCCUUGAUCUCUCUAGAGCUGGCAUAAGAGAUGAAGUCCCAACAUGGCUGUGGACUAUAUUCCCUUCAUUAGACUGCAUUUAUCUAUUUGAUAAUCAAAUUACUGGUUCUGUUCCUGAUCUCUCAUUCACUUCCAUCAGAUUCUUGUUUCUUAAUAACAAUAAUUUCUCAGGUCCUUUUCCAUUAUUUUAUGCCAAUGCUGAAAUUGUUCAGUUGAAUGGAAAUAAGUUCUCUAGGUUCAAUUUCAAGUAUUAGCAAAAUUCCCCAAUAUCGUCAGCUUCUUAGCCUUGACCUCUCCCGUAAUCAGUUGGCCGGAGAGAUUCCCGACUGCUGGGAGAAAAUGCCAUACUUAAGCUUUCUCAAUUUGGCCGACAACAAUUUUUCGGGUGAAAUUCCUCGCUCUUUCGGCUCUUUGCUUGAAUUCAGUGCACUGCAGUUGCGUGGUAAUAAUUUAUCUGGAGAGUUGCCUUCCACUUUGAGACUUUGCCAAAAAUUGCAGUUACUUGAUGUUGGAGGGAAUAAGUUAAGAGAAGAGAUCCCCACUUGGAUUGGCGAGUUGUAUAAUAUGGAAAUCCUAAACCUUCGCGGGAAUAAAUUUCAUGGCAGUAUUCCUUCUCAGAUAUGCAAGCUCACUGAUAUUCGAAUUCUGGACUUGUCGAGAAACAAUUUGUCUGGGAAGAUACCCGAUUGCUUCAACAAUUUUACUGCAUUGGCUCAAAUGAAUACCACACAAUUUGAUCCAUAUUAUCGUAUUGGCUUUUACUCCAUGUUCCAAUACAGUGAUCAUCUUCCAAAUAUAAAAAUUCGACCUGUCUAUGAAUAUUCGUCAGUUCAGUGGAAAGGUCAAGAAUUGGAAUAUAGGAAAAAUCUCAAGCUUCUCAAACUUAUUGAUCUUUCAAGCAAUAGGUUGACUGGAAACAUUCCCAAAUCAUUUUCCAGCAUGCUUGCAUUAAUUUCCAUGAACCUAUCAAGGAAUAGUUUGACAGGAAAUAUAAUUGGAGAUAUUGGUGAGAUGGAGAUGUUAGAAUGUGUUGAUUUAUCACACAACCAAUUCACCGGUGAAUUGCCCACAAGCUUGGCACAAUUACAGUACUUGGCCGUUCUCGACUUGUCGAACAACCACUUAUUUGGUAAAAUUCCAACAAGUACUCAACUUCAGAGCUUCAACGCAUCUGCUUAUGCCGAGAAUGACAGACUCUGUGGGCACCCUCUGCCGGCAUUGUGCCCUGAAGAUAGCUUGAAGCCAUCCACCACUAAUCCGAAUGAGAAAGACGACGACAACCUCUCUUUUAUGCAAGAAGUCUGCAUAUCAUUGGGCUUUGGUUUUAUAUUUGGAUUUUGGGGAGUUGUUGGUACUUUCAUAGUGAAGAAAUCAUGGAGAAUUGCAUACUUCAAUUUCUGGGAUGAUGUUGGAGAUUGGUUCUACGUGAAGAUUGGUGUGUUUGUGUCCAAAUGGAGACGGAGCUGAAAUACUGGUAAUAAACUAACAUCAAUAUAUAUUGUCUUCUACCAUUCUUAAUUUUCUCAAGCUAUUAUUUAAUCUUUAUUUCUUUCUGAAUAGAGGAGGACAAGCUCAUGCAUACAAGAGGAAAUUAAGGAGGAAGAUGUAUUGCUAGUAAUUAUAGUCCUAUUAUGUGUUUUUUAAUACUUCAAUUAUGUCAUUGUUCAUCAUGUUUGGUGAUUAUGUAAUAUUGGAGUAUGUACUUAUUAUUGUCAAAUUAAGUGUUUUUCCUACUUUUUAAUUUAUCAUUGUUUGUCAUGUAUAUUAUGCAGUGAUGUUAUAUUGUAUAUAUGUUGUAUGUGUGAUAGGGGCUAAGCUGCAAAGCGAUGAAAAGUCUGAGGACUAACUUGCAAACAAUGUUCAGGAGUUGGUUGAAAUAAGUUGCAGCCAUUUUCUGUAAUUAUUUUUCAGCUGCGUAGUAUAUAUAUAGGUCGUGGAAGUUCAUUUUUCGAUCUGUAUUGGAAUUUCUUUAAUUUGCUGAUCAAUAAAUCUCCUCCGAUUGACUCUCCCGUGGAUGUAGGCGAAAGCCGAACCACGUAAAUUAUGUGUUC
rnacentral:lncRNA from 1 species